rnacentral:rRNA from 1 species
UACGUACUGUGCGAACGUUAUUCGGAAUCACUGGGCUUAAAGGGUGUGUAGGCGGCUAGCUAAGUAGGGUGUGAAAGGCCUCGGCCUAACCGAGGCAUUGCGCUCUAAACUGACUGGCUUGAGUAAGAUAGGGGUGUGCGGAACUUCCAGUGGAGCGGUGAAAUGUGUUGAUAUUGGAAGGAACGCCGGUGGCGAAAGCGGCACACUGGGUCUUUACUGACGCUGAGACACGAAAGCCAGGGUAGCGAACGGG